UCGGGGUGAGAUCGCAUCACGUGAGCAGGCAGUGUAGGAGGUGCGCCGUCCCGAGAAUCGUCGUCGUCGUCCGAUUCAUCCUCGAUAUCGUGAGGAUCAAAAAAGCAGAACACACACCGAGGCACUGAAAAUAAACGCGCAUCAGUAAGAAACGUGCAACAAGUAAAGGAGGGAAUAACUUACUUGUGAAGCGAGUGAAAGCAGACUGUUCCCCCCCUGAGGCGAUCGCGCGGCUUAUAAACCGGCAUCCACGCUACAUGCGCCAACACGUCGGGGCUCGCUUGUUUCCACGCGGUCGUAAAUCAUGUGGCACCUCGAGGAUGAGGCCGCGUUGGGGGCCAUCUGUUUAAUAUCAGAACGCGCGCGCGGCCGCAAUGGUGAGCAUUCACCGUCGAAGAAAAUGUUGCGUCAAGACGAAACAAGGUUGCGCGAGCGUGGAAAGGAGGGGUUGCCUACAAAAACGAUCUCGUGAGCCCAGACCUCAUCCACUGCUCACCCGAUUGCAACCACCCCAGACUGAAAUCAUGAACUGUCCAACCUGCUCUCGGCCUUUACCGGAAGGAUCGCACUUCCGCGUUUUGGUCAUCGGACCUAAGGUACGGGACGCAACAUCACCACCACCACAGCCACCACUGCAGCCCUCGCCGGAGCCGGAAUAUAUAUGCAUUGAUUUGAAUGCGCUCUCGCCGAUGCUGCCACCAAC